rnacentral:rRNA from 1 species
AGAGUUUGAUCAUGGCUCAGAACGAACGCUGGCGGCAUGCCUAACACAUGCAAGUCGAACGGGAUCCGGACUUCGGUUCGGUGAGAGUGGCGGACGGGUGAGUAACGCGUGGGAACCUGCCCAGUGGUGGGGGAUAACUGCGGGAAACUGCAGCUAAUACCGCAUGAGCCCGAGAGGGGAAAGAUUUAUCGCCAUUGGAGGGGCCCGCGUUCGAUUAGGUUGUUGGUGGGGUAAAGGCCUACCAAGCCGACGAUCUGUAGCUGGUCUGAGAGGACGACCAGCCACACUGGGACUGAGACACGGCCCAGACUCCUACGGGAGGCAGCAGUGGGGAAUUUUGGACAAUGGGCGAAAGCCUGAUCCAGCCAUGCCGCGUGCGGGAAGAAGGCCUUCGGGUUGUAAACCGCUUUUGUCAGGGAAGAAAUCUUUCGAGCUAAUACCUUGAGAGGAUGACGGUACCUGAAGAAUAAGCACCGGCUAACUACGUGCCAGCAGCCGCG